rnacentral:rRNA from 1 species
UACGUAGGGGGCAAGCGUUGUCCGGAAUCAUUGGGCGUAAAGAGCGUGUAGGCGGCUUGGUAAGUCCGCUGUGAAAGUCCAGGGCUCAACCCUGGAAUGCCGGUGGAAACUGCCAAGCUAGAGUCCGGAAGAGGCGAGUGGAACUCCUGUUGUAGCGGUGAAAUGCGCAGAUAUCAGGAAGAACACCAAUGGCGAAGGCAGCUCGCUGGGACGGUACUGACGCUGAGACGCGAAAGCGUGGGGAGCAAACAGG